AUUCUGACAGCUCACGCGCCACUUUAAUCGUUUUGAACGGAUUAUUUCAAUUAUUAAAACGUUAACGAAGUACUUUAAAGACAGACAAAGAGAUAAUUCAACUAGAAUGCAUUGAAACCAAACCUGUUUGUUUGCUGGCGAUGGAAGAGGCGUUUAUGAAUUUCCACCUGCACGUGCAGCUUGUGAACGACUCACCUUAGAUGAUCAGGGAUCUUGUUCAACCAAUCAUUUCUAAAGCCGGGGUCCUUCAGACGAUUAUGCAGAGUGUUAGGUGCUGCACACAUCCAGGAACUACCAAAGUGAGCACAUAAGAAGAACCGGAGAAGAAAAGGAAGAGACGGCCGUUGCUUUCUGUAGGUACUGUGCUUUUUGUUCUUGUGAAUCUUAUCAGUAUAGUAUAGUGUUGUUCUUGUCGCACUACAACCCUGAAGAUAAACAGUGCAAUUGUAUUGUAUAUCUUUUAAGAACUGCAUAGAGAAACCACUUUUCUAAAAAUUUAAGAUAAAGCUGU